UGGCACGUUCACGCAGAUGAACAGGGAUCCCAGGCAUCUUUCUUUUGGUGUUUUUCAGAGUCAGUAGAAAGGCCUUUUGAGUGUCUAGGUUUUCUUAACGGUGACCUUAAUUGCCAUCUGUCUAAGCUGUUAGUGUCUUAACGACUGUUCCACAGGUGCAUGUUCAUUCAUUGUUUAUGGCUCAUUGAACAAGCAUGGGAAAUAGUGUUAAUUAACCCUUUACAGUGAAGUUAUUUGGAUUUUUUACGAAUUAUCUUUGAAAUACAGGGUGUGAAAGGGACGUUUCAUUUUUUGCUGAGUUUAUUUACUAAAUGGACAUUUUUUAAAGUUAAGACUCAUAACUCCACCCGAGGAGGACGCUAAACGUAAGGAUAUCUGGUUAGCUACUAGGGCAAGAGUGCUGGAACACGAGAGCAGAGAAUGGCUCCGCUUCACCAUGGGGAUGAAUUACUUCUGACAUGAUUAGGUGGUACCAUUUAUUUACUGUCAAGUAAUUAUCAAAUUGAUCAGUCUUUUGAAUAUUCUUACAACAGCUUGUCUAACAUUUUAUUGUCUGAUUUGAGUGUCUUUUUUUACAGCUACAGACUUUUGAGGAGGUUGCUAAAGGACACCUUAUGGUUGUUUCUGCCUUGAGGUGGAGUGGAGGAAGCGGAGGUGGAUAGAGUUUGAAAUGUGGAAGGUUCAACACUGUAAAACUGGUUCAAUACUCACUGAAACAGAAAUAGUAACCAGUGAUGGUUGACUACAACAGUUUGAAUGAUGGAUGUUAUCUGACCAUUUGCAGGGAAGAGCUAUGGUUCCACUGAGGAAGCCAAACAUAAGGAGGUCUGGUUAGCUACUAGGACGAGAGUGAUGGAACACAACAAGCGGGCAGAGAAUGGCUCGGAGAGCUUCACCGUGGGGAUGAAUCAUGCUUCUGACAGGGUAUGAUCACGACUACUGGGAAGGUUACAAGAUGAAGGCAGACACAUCGAUGGCUCUGAACGAACUUUAACCCUCGCAAGGCUGCAGGCCC